AUUAAGCCAGGUUCAGCAACAUCCUUUGGUCCAUUAUCCUGAAACAUAGGCUACCAUAGAGUUAAGCGUUAGAUAAGUGGAGAAAUUAAUGUAAUAUAUAUGCAUAUAGUCAUGGAAAUCUGUAUAUAACGAUUACCAGAAGAUCUACCUCUGAAACUCUUGCAGACACAUUAGAUGGAACUUCUUCCAUCUCGGUGUCAACAGUAGCUUCUUCCACAGGCCUCUCUUCCUGUGUAAUAUAGACAGUCCAGACAUUGAACCUAAGAAGACAGUCUUACCAACAACAAUAUUUCCUCUAUCCUGAAACAUAGUUUAACUAACUUCUUAAGCGAAUAUGUACGUACACCAUUUAAACAGAUUGUUAAGAGUAUUAGUAGACGACAUACCAGAUGGGAUUGUGUGGAUCCAGCAUAAGGAACUAUUAAAAAUCCAGUGUCUAAUAUCUCUUCUUCAGCGGCCGAAGAAUCCAAUCCAUCAUUUGCAGUAAAAUCACUUUCAUUAUUAGCGCCAUACUGUAUCGAAGUAGACAGUACAGUUAUACAUAUGGAUUAUAAAAUAUUUAGCAAUGUACGUACAUGACUUACCUGUUCAUCAAUGAAUCCUUGCAUAUCUUCCUUAUUGGAAUCAGGUAGCUCAGUAGUGUCAACAGCAAAAGAAACAUUUUUCUUCGGCUUUGAAGGUUUUCUUCUUCCGCCGACAGCAGUGGUAUGUACUCCAGGGACAUCCAAAUCUUCCUCUUUGGAAUUACAGCCAACAGAAAGUGCAGGAGUGUCCACAUCAUGAGAAACACGAGUCAGCCUUGAAGACUUUCUCGUUCCAGUGCUUCCUUUUGUAGACAUCCUUCUCGAUGGCUUCUUCGCAGUAACCGGUGCCUUAUCCAUAGAAGUAGGUGGUUCCCGCGAAUCAUGGGAAUGUAUGGUUUGUUCUGGCCUUUUGCCUUUUGGAUCAAGGGCAGCACGUAUCUGGUCACGGACAAAGUCUUUCAUAUCUUCAUGCAUUUGAUACAUUUGGUCUUCCAGCUCCUUGAAAGACCUCCUCAUUUCAACAAUAAACCUCUCAGGCACAGGCUCUCCAAAACAAUCCUCAGCGUUCUCUUCUUUAUCACAGUCCAUUUCAGAUUUCUGUUUUUUCAUAGCAGGUUCUUUAGGGCUCGGGCCCGGUGCAUUUCGUUUCCUCUUAACAUCUACAAUAGACCAGUUGCUGCUAUUAAUUGGUUUUCUUCUGGGUGCAAUACCAAAAAAAAA
rnacentral:sRNA from 1 species